UGCCCAGCCACUCCCUAUCCCUACCUCCUCGGUGGUACUGGCCCGCGUAUUAGCUAACUUUGGGGAAGAUCGAGUAACCAACCCCAGGUGGGAACUUUGGUCGUAUGCUGACAGGGAAGG
rnacentral:ribozyme from 1 species